rnacentral:lncRNA from 1 species
GUGUGUGUGUGUGUGUGUGUGUGUGUGUGUGUGUUGUGUGUGUUUGUUUAAGGGGGAAAAACCCCUUUCAACUUCCUCUGACUUGUGGAAGGAGGGAUUUUGGCACUUUGCUCUAGCGUGUAAUGGGUAUAAAUUAUGCAUGGUAUACAGAUAACAUUUUAUUUGUGGGACUGGGGAGGAAAUGAGAGCAGCACAUGAACAAAAUCUGGUGCGCUUUGUGCCUGCUGUGAAUACUUCUUAAUUUUUGUUCCUCCUUAGUAAGGCUGUUCUUGAUGCAAGCAGUCUCAUAGUCAACGUUUUCAUGUUUCUUAUUUUUAUUAUUUUCCUUUUUUAAUAGACCAGCCAACCUCACAACUCCAAUUAGAGACAAUUGGGAUAAAUAUAUGCAAACUAAGACAAUAUAUGAAAGCUUGUGCUAUCGAAUGGAUAGAUGUGUGUUUUGUCUUAAACUCCCUUGCUUUUAAUUGAUUCAUUAAUGGGCUAAAAUAGAUACUGCAGUAUCUGUCUCGACGGAGGUGUUAUCUGGAGGCUGUUUAAUUGAGGUAAUAAGCUGUGUUCUGCACACCGUAAUGCAACCCAGCCACUUAAAUGUUUGAAAUAUAAUUUUUAAUCCUGAGCUGGAAUUGAGACAGCUGCUAAUUAGAGCUGGCGUGGGUGCUGUGUAUUGGCAAAUGAGUCUUGGCCAUGAACUUACUUGGUGGCCUUAAGUAAGCCCCCCUCUCUCUUUCUCAGCCUCAGCCUUUCUGUCUGUAAUUUGGGGAUAAUAAUUCUGACCUGCCUUGGAAUGUAGUUGUCAGAAAAUGCACCUUACGUUCUUUAAACCAGAAGUGACCUGUGGGCAGUCUUGGCCCACCAGGGACGCCAGUUUGGCCCAUAAGGCUAUUUCCCCAAAACUGCACCAGCUCGCCCAUCACCUUAUGGGCAGGAGAACAGGCUUUAACCCUGCAUUAGCUUUGUGCUCUGCUCUUAGCAGGGAGCAGAACCACACAGAUCAGGAAGUAGGAUUUGGUCCCCAUGCAUCCCCUGAUGGUUGUGGAUUAAACUCUUUCUCCUUUCCCCAGGGGAUGGUAGUGACUGAUUUUCAGGUGGGUGACCCCACCCACCCGACAAAUUUGGCCUGUGAGGCAGAUCCUGAUAAAGAGUUGGCCCAUGGAGCCAAAAUGAUCUCCCAUCCCUCACUUAAAUGCUUUGAGAGCAGUAUAUCUGUGCUCCUUAUCAGCAUUAUUCCUGAUGUUACUGCAAAACAUCACAGUGCAUCUUCCCACAAGAGCAGGUGGCUGUGUGAAGGACACCAUCCCUUAUGCACCACCAGCAUUGACUUCUUAGGGGUUUCCUGUGUCUUGAUCCAAGGUGCUGUUUCUCUCUCUCCUGACGUAUCUCGACAAAAGCCACUUUUCAACAUUCUGUCACAUGCAGGUGUGACCAAUGAAGCCCAGGAUGUGGCUGGUCAAAUCAAGGGGCAGACUGCACAAGGGAGCUGGUGUGAUGGUGGUGGUGGUUGGGUCGAGACUGACAGUGGCAGAAUAUAGCUCCCAUGCGAAUGAUUCAUUGAUUCCAAGUGUGCUGCUUUGCUGCUUUCUUUCUGGAUGAUUGUCAGUCGCUUCUUUUGGGGAAGAGUAAAAGUGUGUUUUGGAACAGGGUUGUAGUGAGAGCAGAGCCUGCCCUUUGCCCAGCAGUGGACAGCCCAGCUCUUGUAGGCUGGGGCUCCCUCCUCCCCAUGCACAAGUCCUCCAGUUGUUCAGCCCACAUCCAUCAAAAUGACUAUGUGCAGUUUGCUAGCUACUGAUAGUUCCCUUAAACUGCCUGGAACCAAUGGAUACAUUUAAAAAUAUGCAAAUACACUGGCUGCUAAGCAGAUUUCUCUCAGGGAAAGUGGUGGGAUCAAAUGUAAAAAUAAAAACAUCCGUAGGCGUUUGACAACAGUAGCUAUUAGCACAAACACCAUUUCAUAUUUAGCACAUCUUGUUCAAAAUAAUCUAUUUCUAUAAUCAAUCAAUCAAUCAAUCAAUUGGCUCUUUAC